rnacentral:rRNA from 1 species
UACGUAGGGUGCAAGCGUUAAUCGGAAUUACUGGGCGUAAAGCGUGCGCAGGCGGUGAUGUAAGACAGAUGUGAAAUCCCCGGGCUCAACCUGGGAACUGCAUUUGUGACUGCAUCGCUGGAGUGCGGCAGAGGGGGAUGGAAUUCCGCGUGUAGCAGUGAAAUGCGUAGAUAUGCGGAGGAACACCGAUGGCGAAGGCGGCCCCCUGGACCGGUACUGACGGCUGAGGCGCGAAAGCGUGGGUAGCAAACGGG